GCAUUAAUGGGGUAGUGGUAACCUGGGUCGUUGCCAUUUAAACUCGACCCGCCGGGAGUUCGAUUCUCUCUUAAUGCA